rnacentral:lncRNA from 1 species
AAAUUAACAAGCCCCAACCCUUGGAACCCCAGCCCGACCAUCCCUAGCCCGUCAACUCCCACCCACGCCAGCUCCGCCCAAAGAAACAUCACAAAAGGAUUGUCUCAGCCUUUUCACCUUUUUCAUCGACAAAGCAAGGUAAGAAGAGGAAUAAGAAAUUAUACUCUCAGCAACAUGCUUAUUGAUUCCUUUUGAUUUUAUCUAGUAAUUUCAUGAAUUUUUAUAACAUCUAGCCACUUUGGUAAAUUCUUCCCCAAAAUUAAUUGGCAUUCUGUUGAAAGACUCUAUAUGCUUGAUGGCUGGUUUAGUGUAUACAGGCAGUGAGAGCCAGCUAGUUAAAAUUGUGUGUGGAAUUCUAGUUAAAGGACACUGGGACGAUAUUUUGAGACCCAAAAUUGGUUCUUUUGUUACUUCUAGCGUUAUUAAUCAAGCACUGUUGAAGUUUUCCCUUCAUGGGUUUUCAAUUUCUUGGUCGUUUUUUAAGUGGGUUGAGUCGAUUCCGCAUUACAAGCAUUCUUUGCAGUGUUCUUGGACUAUGAUUUGUGUUUUAACGAAGCAUAGGCAUUUCAAGUCUGCUCAAAACUUGCUGGAAAAGAUUUCGCUUAAGGAUUUUUUAUGGUCCCCCACUGUUUUGAAUGCUGUUGUGAGUUGUUAUGAUGAUCCGGAUGUGAAUUCGCAUGUUCUUAGUUGGUUGGUUAUACUUUAUGCUAAUUUUAAGAUGACCCCUGAGGCAAUUCAAGUGUUUGAGCACAUGAGGGUUUGUGGGUAUAAGCCCCAUUUGCAUGCUUGUACCGUGCUUCUGAAUUUACUGGUUAAAGAAAGGUUUACUGAUAAAGUGUGGAAAAUUUAUAAGAAGAUGAUAAAAGUUGGGGUUCUUCCGAAUAUACAUGUAUAUAAUGUGUUGAUUCACGCCUGUUGUAAGUCGGGUGAUGUGGAGAAGGCAGAGGAUUUUUUAAGUGAAAUGGAGUUUAAAGGUAUAUUUCCUGAUCUUUUCACUUAUAAUACACUUAUUUCAUUAUAUUGCAAGAAGGGUAUGCAUUAUGAGGCUUUAUGCGUGCAAGAGAGGAUGGAAAGAGGAGGAGUUUGUCCCGAUAUUGUAACUUAUAAUUCACUUAUUUAUAGUUAUUGUAAAGAAGGUAGAAUGAGAGAGGCUUUGAGGCUUUUUAAGGAAAUAAAAGGCGCUACUCCAAACGAAGUGACGUAUACUACUUUGAUUGAUGGUUAUUGCAGAGUGAAUGAUCUUGACGAAGCUUUACGUUUGCGGGAUGUAAUGGAGGUAAAGGGGUUGUACCCGGGGGUGGUUACCUACAAUGCAAUUCUAAGGAAGUUAUGUCAAGAAGGCCGGAUAAAGGAUGCAAAUCAACUAUUACAUGAAAUGAAUGAGAAGAAAAUUGAACCUGAUAAUGUUACAUGUAAUACGUUAAUUAAUGCUUAUUGCAAAAUUGGAGAUAUGAGUUCUAGUUUGAAAGUUAAAAGUAAGAUGUUGGAGGCUGGAUUGCGACUGGAUCAAUUCACUUACAAGGCAUUAAUUCAUGGGUUCUGCAAGGCAAGAGAGAUAAACAUUGCUAAAGAUAUGUUAUUUGAUAUGCUUGACGCAGGAUUCUCUCCAAGUUAUUGCAUAUAUGCUUGGUUUGUGGAGCUAUACUGCAAACAAAAUGAUGAUGAAGCACUCUUAAAAUUACCGGAGGAGUUUGUUCAAAGGGGUCUCUGUGUUGACAUCUCUGUGUAUCGGGCUAUAAUACGAGUUUUGUGCAAGAGAGAAAAAAUUGAUUGUGCUCAAAAAGUAUUUAGCAUUAUGCAGUCUAGGGGAAUAUUAGGAGAUACUGUUAUCUAUGCCAGUUUGGCAUAUGCAUACUUGAGAGCUGGUGAUGCUGUAGCUUAUUCAGCUUUGUUAGAUGAGAUGUAUAAGAGGAGACUGAUGAUAACUCUCAAAAUCUAUAGAAGUAUGAAUGCUUCGUAUGCUAAUGAUGCCAUCAAUUUAGGCAUGUUUUGGGAUCACAUUGUUCAGAGAAGCUUGAUUUCCAAAACUAUUUAUCAUCAAAUCCGAAAUUGAAGCUGUAAAUCUUAAGCAAGAGUUGUUAAAAUGAAAAGCUUUAGUCUCAAGUUCAACCUGUUUUUGAGGUGGUAUAGAGCCUCAAGCAAUCUAUUACUCCUGCUGUUCUUGUGCAUCUGGUGUCCCUGGUACUAAAUUGGGUCGUUCAUCGACAAAAAUGAUUGAUGUUGCCCAAGUCAAAUGCUUUCAUUGGUAUUGUCUCAUUUCAAUUACUGAUACCCUUUAUACAAUCGGGUGCGGUUUAACAGAUUGCAACUAAAAGGUUUGGCAGUCUCUUAUACGAGUUAAGGAGGAAGGUUAUGUGCAUGGCACGCUAUCGGGUGUCAAUUUGUUUUUUGAGUUGUACACAGAACCAUUUUACAUCUAGUGUUUGAUUAGUGGAGUGCAGGAAGCCCAGAAAUCAACCAUCUCUCUCUGUAUAACAUGCCCGUAAGUACUGAAUUACAUUUUUUUUCUUUUUUUUUUUUAAGUUACGUAUUUAUUAUAUUUCUGAGUGGGCAGGUUAAUAUUGUUCUAAAUGACUUGUUUUAGAAGAAUUUUUUUUCUUCGAGUAAGGACUUUUUUGCAGUUUGAUAAUGAGCUGAACUGGAAGUAUGAUUUAGUUUUAUAAGAGCCAGCGAAGGGAAUUAGGGAAGUAGAAUUUAGGGGCAGAAAAUUUCCAUGUAAUUGGUCUUUAGUUAGUUUAUGAAAUUUUNNNNNNNNNNNNNNNNNNNNNNNNNCAACCUGUCUAUCGUUUUCUUCUUUUUCUUAAUGAAAACCGAUUGUUUCUGCAACAGAGCUCUUAUCCCACCGUGAGAAAAAUGCAGAAACUAACAAUUUCUGUGUGUUUUAUGUAGCCCCUGCAUAUCUGCCGACAGGCAAGUCCUCUGAAACAAAUGCCGUCUUAGGGUUAUGGAACCUUGUAUUUGAAAUGAUCACACACCAAUGAACUUUGAAAUUUUGCAAAGCUGCCAAUGAGAAAGGAGCAAUGCUUCAUUGGCAAGGACUCACUAUCUUCUGUUUGCUUUCUCUUUCCAUGAUCAUAGCUUGUGUAAAAGAGAUCUGCUGUGUUAGGCUGACAGCAAAUGUAAAAAUGACAAAUCUUAGACAUGAAUCCUAAACGAAAAGGGAUUCUUGGAGCUGACCCCAAAUUGCUUGGGAACAUGGCUUCGUUUGUGGUUACAAGUUUGAAUUCAUGUCUUUGUUUUUUGUUCUCGUGAUAUAAAAGCGCUGCUAAAGUUCAGGGUAGUUACGUGAUGUGGAAUUUUUCACAGGUGAAGAAAUUUGAUAUUCUUGUAGAUAAAGAUUUAAAAGGGAAAAUGGUGGCAUUGAGCUGGAGGAAAUGGGUCGAGUAGCUCUUUUGUUCAGCCAAAGCUAAUAUCUUCAUGGCCAGAUACAAAAACUCUGAAAUGGAAUGUUCGGUAUGCUGCUGGAAGAAUGGACCGAAUUAAACAUGAUUAAAGAAAAAGAGAAGCUAUAAUCUUGUCUUCUUUACUGUGUAUCGUUCUCUCGGUGUACCUUGCACUCGAGUCAUAUUGACAUACUGUGUCCCCUUUCAAUAUGUGGGAGUUUAACAUUGUCAAUGGUUUAAAGAAUUUGAGGAAGAGUUGAAUGCAAAAAUAUCCAUUGUAUGCUAUGUUAAUUUUGUUUUUUUACAUUUUGCUAUUAAAAUUUAAUUUAUUAGCAAAGGAUGAUGGAAUGGAUACUUCACUUGAUAUAUAGAUUUUUGGUUUUGGGAAUGAAAAU